AUUGAACGCUGGCGGAAUGCUUUACGCAUGCAAGUCGAACGGCAGCACGGGGCAACCUGGUGGCGAGUGGCGAACGGGUGAGUAAUACAUCGGAACGUGCCCAAUCGUGGGGGAUAACGUAGCGAAAGUUACGCUAAUACCGCAUACGAUCUACGGAUGAAAGCGGGGGAUCGCAAGACCUCGCGCGAAUGGAGCGGCCGAUGUCAGAUUAGGUAGUUGGUGGGGUAAAGGCUCACCAAGCCGACGAUCUGUAGCUGGUCUGAGAGGACGACCAGCCACACUGGGACUGAGACACGGCCCAGACUCCUACGGGAGGCAGCAGUGGGGAAUUUUGGACAAUGGGCGCAAGCCUGAUCCAGCCAUUCCGCGUGCAGGAUGAAGGCCUUCGGGUUGUAAACUGCUUUGUUACGGAACGAAAAGGACUCUGGUUAAUACCGGGGCUCAUGACGGUACCGUAAGAAUAAGACACCGGCUAACUACGUGCCAGCAGCCGCGGUAA
rnacentral:rRNA from 1 species